GUCGACUCCGCCUCUGUUGCGACAGCCUUGGCCAAAUAUGAUUUUCCAGUUCCAGGUGGACCAUACAGUAGAAAUGCUCUCCAUGGCUUUCGCUUACCAGUGAAAAACUGUGGGAACUUCACCGGAAGAAUAACCGCCUCCUGCAGCGCCUGCUUGGCGCUCUCCAGCCCUGCGACAUCAUUCCACUUAAUAUUCGGCUUCUCCUGGAUAAUCGCGCUACUCAGCCCCGCCCUCAGCUUGGACUGCUCCGUAUCCUCCCCAUCCCCUCCACCGCCAUCCUUCGGCUUCGUCUUCGGCCGCGUAGCGACCGCGGCAUCCCCGUUGGCGGCGGGGCCAGGGCCGCCCUCGUCGAGGACGGCGCGGAUCUCCUCGGCGCGGCGGAGGUACUCGGUGAACUUCUGGGUGAUGGCUUCCUUGAUCUUAGGGUUCUUCUCGUACUUGAGGUGUGUGCGGAAGUACUCGAGGGCGUUCAUGUAGAGGGGGAAGGCCUUGACGUAGUUGCCGGCAUUGUCUUCUUGGACGGCUUGCUUGACGUACUCGAUCGCCUGCUCCUUGAAGUUGCUGUACAUCUCCGAUCACGGGAAACGGGGAGAGGAGGUGGGGGUGGAGAUGAGGGCGGAACCCUAGAAAUUGAGACGGCGCCGAUCGCGGCGGAACCCUAGGAAUCGAUGCGCCGCCGAUCGGG
rnacentral:misc_RNA from 1 species